rnacentral:rRNA from 1 species
AGCGAACGCUGGCGGCAGGCCUAACACAUGCAAGUCGAACGCCCCUUCGGGGGAGUGGCGGACGGGUGAGUACCGCGUGGGAAUGUGCCCUUUGGUACGGAACAACUGAGGGAAACUUCAGCUAAUACCGUAUGUGCCCUACGGGGGAAAGAUUUAUCGCCAUUGGAGCAGCCCGCGUUGGAUUAGGUAGUUGGUGGGGUAAUGGCCCACCAAGCCGACGAUCCAUAGCUGGUCUGAGAGGAUGAUCAGCCACACUGGGACUGAGACACGGCCCAGACUCCUACGGGAGGCAGCAGUGGGGAAUCUUGCGCAAUGGGCGAAAGCCUGACGCAGCCAUGCCGCAUGAAUGAUGAAGGUCUUAGGAUUGUAAAAUUCUUUCACCGGGGAAGAUAAUGACGGUACCCGGAGAAGAAGCCCCGGCUAACUUCGUG